rnacentral:rRNA from 1 species
CCAACAGCGUAUAUUAAAGUUGUUGCAGUUAAAAAGCUCGUAGUUGAAUUGAGGGAUUGACGUGACGGUCGUGCCUUACGGGGUAUGAACUGUUGCUGUUGAUUUUUCUCACCUUCUGGAGAAACUUGAUGUCCUUAAUUGGGUGUCUUGCGGAUCCAGGACCUUUACCUUGAAAAAAUUAGAGUGUUUAAAGCAGGCAUUUUGCUCGAAUACAUUAGCAUGGAAUAAUAGAAUAGGACGGCAUGGUUCUAUUUUGUUGGUUUCUAGGAUCACCGUAAUGAUUAAUAGGGAUAGUUGGGGGCAUUAGUAUUAAAUGGUCAGAGGCGAAAUACUUGGAUUUGUUGAAGACUAAUUACUGCGAAAGCAUUUGCCAAGGAUGUUUUCAUUAAUCAAGAACGAAAGUUAGGGGAUCGAAGACGAUCAGAUACCGGCGUAGUCGUAACCAAUAAACUAUGCCGACUAGGAAUCAGACGAUGUUAAUUUUUUAAUGAUUCGUUUGGCACCUUACG